AGUUUUGGAGAAGUUACUGUGAGCUGCUGAGACGAAGGUGUAUUCUUUGCCUUUAGGAUGAAAUGUUUGUUUCAUAACUUCUGUUAUUUUCACUGUGUCUCUGUUUAGUUUCUGUUUCCAUGAUCUGUCCAUUGCUGAGAGUGGGGUGUUGAGGUCUCUCACUAUUAUUGUGUGAGGUGCAAUGUGCACUUUGAGCUCUAGUAAAGUUUGUAUUAUGAAAAUAGUUGCCCUUGCAUUUGGAGCAUAGGUGUUCAGAAUUGAGAGUUACUUGCUUUUUGUAGUUUGUAAUAUUCAUACAGAAUCUAUGGUGUCUACUUAGUGUUGUUGAUCUGUUUGCUUGUCUCUUUAUAUCUGUUAAUUGGUACUCUUCUUGCAAAUGCAUGCCCCAUUCAAAAGAAUGCAGUGACAUAUGAGGAUGUGCAUGUGAACUUUACUCGGGAAGAAUGGGCUUUGCUGGAUCCUUCCCAGAAGAGUCUCUACAAGGAUGUGAUGCUGGAGACCUACAGGACCCUCAGAGCUAUAGGCUGUUAUUGGGAAGACCACAGUAAUGAAAAUUCUCAAACUUCUAGAAGAAAUGGAAGG